UAAUACGUAGGGUGCAAGCGUUGUCCGGAUUUAUUGGGCGUAAAGGGUGCGCAGGCGGCCCGCAGUCGUGGCGCGUGGAAUCUCUCGGCUUAACCGGGAGGGGUCGCGCCAAACGGGCGGGCUUGAGGCAGGGAGAGGCAGACAGAACGGGCGGAGUAGGGGUGAAAUCCGUAGAGACCGUCCGGAAUACCAAUUGCGAAGGCAGUCUGCUGGACCUGACCUGACGCUCGGGCACGAAAGCGUGGGGAGCGAACGGAAUUAGAUACUCCGGUAGUCCACGCCCUAAACGAUGUCGACUCGGUGUUGGGGGUAUCGACCCCUCCGGCGCCUCAGUUAACGCGGUAAGUCGACCGCCUGGGGACUACGGCCGCAAGGCU
rnacentral:rRNA from 1 species